GCCAGAGCUGUUGAAUUGCCCACAACCAUAAUCCCAAGACAUUCUAGGUGAAUUACGACCAUGCAUUUGAUGGUCUUAGAAAAAGCCACGACAGCUCUGGCUGUAAUGCUACAUGAUUUUCAAAUUUCCUUUAUACCUGAUAAGUAUCUACAAGACAAGAGUUUAGUUUUUUUAUACAAUCUCCCUCUCUAUAGCUGACAUUCGUUAUACUAUUCU
rnacentral:misc_RNA from 1 species